rnacentral:rRNA from 1 species
UACGUAGGGGCCAGCGUUGUCCGGAAUUAUUGGGCGUAAAGAGCUCGUAGGCGGUCUGUUGCGUCCGCUGUGAAACUCGGGCUUAACCCGAGCCUGCAGUGGAUACGGCAGACUAGAGGUAGGUAGGAGAAUGGAUCCGUGUAGCGUGAAUGCGCAGAGUAUCGAGACACGUGCGAGCGUCUGACUGCUACUAGACGCUGAGAGCGAAGCGUGGGGGGAGCGAGCAGAUAGAACCCCCCGUAUACGAAGACGAGAUAGUCUCGCUACGAUA